rnacentral:rRNA from 1 species
CGGACGGGUGAGUGAUGCCUAGGAAUCUGCCUGGUAGUGGGGGACGAACGUUUCGAAAGGAACGCUAAUACCGCAUACGUCCUACGGAGAAAGCAGGGACCUUCGGGCCUUGCGCUGUCAGAUGAGCCUAGGUCGGAUUAGCUAGUUGGUGAGGUAAUGGCUCACCAAGGCGACGACCCGUAACUGGUCUGAGAGGAUGAUCAGUCACACUGGAACUGAGACACGGUCCAGACUCCUACAGGAGGCAGCAGAG